GUGCUCACUUCAGCAGCACAUAUACUAAAAUUGGAACAAUGCAGAGACAAUUAGCAUGGCCCUUCCACAAGGAUGACAUGAAAAUUCAUGAAAUGUUCCAUAUUUUU
rnacentral:snRNA from 1 species